rnacentral:rRNA from 1 species
UACGUAGGGUCCGAGCGUUGUCCGGAAUUACUGGGCGUAAAGAGCUCGUAGGUGGUUUGUCGCGUUGUUCGUGAAAACUCACAGCUCAACUGGGGGCGUGCGGGCGAUACGGGCAGACUGGAGUACUGCAGGGGAGACUGGAAUUCCUGGUGUAGCAGUGAAAUGCGUAGAUAUCAGGAGGAACACCGAUGGCGAAGGCAGGUCUCUGGGCUGACACUGACGCUCAUGCACGAAAGCGUGGGGAGCAAACAGG